UAAUCUUUUUCAGCUUGACUUGAUUCACAGCUCUUCCAUUCACUGUAGCUUAUAUACACUCAUAAACUUUGAUGGGUUUUUUUAUUAUACAUCUAUUUGCACGAUUAUAGAAAUGGUGCCGUUGAACUUUCUACUGUGGUUAAGAUUUUAUGGUUAAAAAGAAAAAGGGGGAAAAAGAAAGAAAAUUCUAUAGCUGACAGGCACUUGACUGAAAUGUUAAGCAAAAGCAUAUCGCAUGAUUGCUUGAAAGUUAGAAGCAUAUCAUUUACUUGAAGUAACUAUGAUUUUUAUUUGUCUUUCUCUCCGACAAUUGAUAUCAUUCAACUUAAGACUUUUGGGAUUUUUUUUACUGUGACCUUUGCUUUUCUUUUGGUAUCUGUUUAAAAACGUCUGUGCUUUGCCUGGAGAUUUCAAUACUGUCAACUUUGUUUUUAUGUUGAUUUAGGUGCCAGGAAAUCUUGGGGUAUAUAUAUAUUUAUAUUUGAAUUGGAUUAUCAUAAGUGCAAAAGGAGUGUCAAAAGGUAAAGGGGGUAAAGAAUCCCGGCUAUCUACCAUCUUUUCUUAUUGUUUGGACCAUUUAUUUGACCAUUUUAUCAUUGAAAAGUAGCAUCUUGUUAUCAUGGGAUUAGAUUUGUUCCCCUUUCUAAGGUAUCAUCUAAUUUAAUUAAGAAUUGCAGAGUCAGAUUCAAUUAAGGAGACAAUUUUCUUUUCUUUUUGUCAUAAAAAACUUCAUUGUUUAUUCCUUAAACAGUUCGCCAAAGUUAUAGUUAAUAAAAGGCAUCUCAUGAAUCAAAGAAUUAGUGUUUCCAAUUACUAUAGAAAAUAAUAAAAACUUAAAGUAGGUAAGGUUUCUUUUCAUUCACUUCAACUAUAUCAUCAUGGUUUAUAUACAAGAAAAUAAAUCUACCAAUUAUUCUCUUAUAGCUUGCUUGAACUACUCAUGUUGACUCUCAGGUCUACUUCUCAUAAAUCAUUUUUUAGUCUCCUCAUAUUUAGGCUUUUGUUUCUCAAAGGCAUAUGAUUUUUACUAAGAGGCCCAAUUAUUGAAUCUGCUUUCUGUUUCAAAACCAUACAAACUAUUUAGAGUAGAUUCAUAUCUAAAUAGACCUUUGAUUAGACUCACAAAAUGUUUUGGGACCUUAAUUUGUGUACAGUGUCCCCUUUAGAAAUUUAUUUUUACAAAUAUAUCUGUAUAUUAUUCUCAAAGGUCAAAAGUGUACACCUUGUUAUGACACUAGAGGUAAAGCUAAUGCUGUAUGUUUGGACUUUAGACAUUUCUAUUAAUUAUUGUAUUUGAAACUUGGUGUUGAAGCUUUGUGGUCUGGAGUCCUUUUAUCUAGUCUUUGUAGGUUCAUCCAUAUCUAGAAUAUCUAAAAGCCAUUGAUUUGGUAUUUGAUAUCAAUUUAACAGUUGAUAUUGUUCCAUUUGCCUUCCUGUCUCCAGAAAAGAAAAAGGUAUCACUUUCUGAUCUACUGGAUAUAGAUCAUUGGUCCAAGAGAUGCCGGUUGAGUCUCAUGUAGCUUUAUUGUUUGAUUACUAUAUGAAAGUCCACAAGUGUUAAGUUAAUAAAGCCUGUAUCCUUGUAUUGUUCAAUAUCCAUGAAGUCUAUAAGAUUAAGUUUGCAAAGCUAAUAUCUCUAAUACUUUUUUUUCUAUCAAUCAAAUAAUUAUGUAGGAUUAUCUGCAUAAUUUUGUUCAAUUUUUGACCCUGAUUUCGGCAUUAUGUAACUCUUAUUUCUUUAAGUUUCUCCAUGUGAUUGGAUUCGUGAUUACCCUAAGAAUGCCAUGUGCAACAGCAAAAGAUGGUGACAGCAUAAUGGAGUUGUUUUUCUGCAGUUCAAGAAAACACUUUAUGAUCAAAUGAAGCAGUCUUGGCAUUAUUCCUGGGACAAUUAGAAGUAAGCUCAUCUUCAUCUCUUCCAAAAACCAAGAAUAUAUGUAUGACCAGGAUCCUUGAAUGAUAUUUCUGUUGGUUUUUGGCACAUCAGUAAGGAGACUACCCCCCAGUGCCUGGCUUCUGCCUAGCACAACAUUGACAGUUACAAGAUGACUAAAUAAGCAUACAGCAGCAAAGGAAAAAUUUACGAUCAACAAGCAGUGAACCAGAGGAUUGCUCCAAAAUCCACUCAGAUGCAACCAAAAGAUUCAGUGGUAGCAGUAAGUUUGUUAAAAACUAAGCUUGAGAGUUGGGAUCUGCUGUAACUUUGGGUAUGAAGUUGAUCCUUUCAACUGGUUCACACCACUUGAAAUGUAUCCAUUAACAUAUUUGAUCUGACAAUAUCUAACAACAUUCACAGUGAAAUUUAACAGAGAUUUCUUUGGAUACAA